CGAUGCAACGCGAAAACCUUACCCACUUUGACAUGUACGGAAUUUGCCAGAGAUGGCUUAGUGCUCGAAAGAGAGCCGUAACACAGGUGCUGCAUGGCUGUCGUCAGCUCGUGUCGUGAGAUGUUGGGUUAAGUCCCGCAACGAGCGCAACCCUUGUCAUUAGUUGCUACAUUCAGUUGGGCACUCUAAUGAGACUGCCGGUGACAAACCGGAGGAAGGUGGGGAUGACGUCAAGUCCUCAUGGCCCUUAUAGGUGGGGCUACACACGUCAUACAAUGGCCGGUACAAAGGGUCGCAAACCCGCGAGGGGGAGCCAAUCCAUCAAAGCCGGUCGUAGUCCGGAUCGCAGUCUGCAACUCGACUGCGUGAAGUCGGAAUCGCUAGUAAUCGUGGAUCAGCAUGUCACGGUGAAUACGUUCCCGGGUCUU
rnacentral:rRNA from 1 species